AGAUUAAUCCAGGAUGGAUCCAUGAGUUCACAUGUCCGCAUGAUUAAAGGUAUUUUCCGGUAGACGAUGGGGAUGCGUUCCAUUAGAUAGUAGGCGGGGUAACGGCCCACCUAGUCAACGAUGGAUAGGGGUUCUGAGAGGAAGGUCCCCCACAUUGGAACUGAGACACGGUCCAAACUCCUACGGGAGGCAGCAGUGAGGAAUAUUGGUCAAUGGGCGAUGGCCUGAACCAGCCAAGUAGCGUGAAGGAUGACUGCCCUAUGGGUUGUAAACUUCUUUUAUAAAGGAAUAAAGUCGGGUAUGCAUACCCGUUUGCAUGUACUUUAUGAAUAAGGAUCGGCUAACUCCGUGCCAGCAGCCGCGGUAAUACGGAGGAUCCGAGCGUUAUCCGGAUUUAUUGGGUUUAAAGGGAGCGUAGAUGGAUGUUUAAGUCAGUUGUGAAAGUUUGCGGCUCAACCGUAAAAUUGCAGUUGAUACUGGAUGUCUUGAGUGCAGUUGAGGCAGGCGGAAUUCGUGGUGUAGCGGUGAAAUGCUUAGAUAUCACGAAGACUCCGAUUGCGAAGGCAGCCUGCUAAGCUGCAACUGACAUUGAGGC
rnacentral:rRNA from 1 species